CCAUUCUUGUGACCGAUGCUGGCAUCACAGAUGCAGGUCUUCUUGAGAAUUAUGGGAUGUGGAAGGGCACCACAGGAUGCUGGGAUACACACAAUAUAGGAAAAUUCACAGGCACCAGGGGACAGUAUUUGAGGUGUGAUUCAGCUUGCAGGGACACAGGCCAGAGCAUUAGGGACACUCACAGGCUUCUUGCCAGAUGGAGUUGGGGAGACGAGUGAAUUGUGAAAUUCCCCGGGGCUAAUUCCCAAACUCAAGGCCUGAUGGGUUACUUUGGGUGGUAUGCGGGCUCCGUGGGACCCUGCCCCUUGCCCUCCGCGACCCAGCUCCCCCUCCACCCCCAGCCCAGUCCAGUAAGCCCAGCGGCGCCUACACUCCUCUCCCCAGGAGCUGGAGCGCCAGGCCUUGGCCAAACACGUCAGGGCAGAGGCCCUGAGCUCCACCCUUCGGCUGGCCCAAGACGAAGCCGUUCGGGCCAAGAACCUACUGCUGACGGACAAGAUGAAGCCGGAGGAGAAGGUGGCCACUUUGGACUAUAUGCAUUUGAAGAUGUGUUCCCUCCACGACCAACUCAGCCACCUGCCACUUGAGGGGUCCACAGGGGCAAUGGGGGGAGGAAGCACUGGAGGGGCUCCCCCUAAACGUGGGGGUCCAGGCUCUGAACAAUAAAUGGCCUCUCAUGCUGGCAUGAA
rnacentral:lncRNA from 1 species